UCAGUUGAAUUCGUUGGUGCAGAGUAAGAGUAGCAAAUGAGUUGGGAGCUGGAAAAGGAAGAGAGGCAAAAUUUGCAACAGAAGUAGCAGUAACACAAUCAAUAGUGAUUGGAUUAAUCUUUUGGAUUUUGAUAAUAUUUUUCCACAAUGAACUUGCUUUAAUUUUCACAACAAGCAAACCUGUUCUUGAAGCUGUUCAUAAACUAGUUAUUCUCUUAGCUUUCACUGUUCUCCUCAAUAGUGUUCAACCAAUUCUCUCAGGGGUUGCUGUUGGAUCUGGCUGGCAAGCAUAUGUUGCAUACAUAAAUUUGGGCUGCUAUUAUUUACUUGGUGUCCCUCUGGGCUUUAUUAUGAGCUGGGGUUUCCACUAUGGUGUCAUGGGUAUAUGGGCUGGAAUGAUAUUUGGUGGAACAGCAGUUCAGACUUUGAUAUUGGCUAUAAUCACAAUUAGAUGUGAUUGGACUAAAGAGGUAACAUAUUUCUUUUGUUUACCAUUCUAUGUUCAAUUUUCAUUUUUUGCUCUUAUUAAUUCAAAUUCGUAUCGAAAAAUUUCAAUUUAGGA